GCCAGCGUAGCUCAGUCGGUAGAGCACCUGAUUCGUAAUUAGGGGGUCAAGGGUUCGAGUCCCUUCGCUGGCUCCA
rnacentral:tRNA from 1 species